GAAAGUGAGAUAGAAAGACGGAGCGACAGAAUGAGAGAGAAUUCAGAUAGAUGACAGUGUUUCAUCCCAUGUUUCAGCAAAUGUCUUGGUUUACCUGCUACAGAGUCAUCUCUUUGUCCUCUCUGUGGCUUUACAGGUCAAAGUUCAUCUUGCUCUGAUAAACUCUAUUCCAUUAGUCUGAUUGUGACCGACUGGCAAAGCUUGGCAGGAAGCGGUGGAUAAAGUCCAGAGUGAAAAUUGGCAGAAUGAAAGCGAGCAGCGCGUCUCUCCUGCCGAUUAUCUCCAUCUCUCCAACUGUGCCAAAGUGACUGUGUAGAUUCGUGUUCUUUUGUGAGAUUAGCAAAACAUUACUUUAAUGUAGUCACACGCAGCUCAAGGUGUAUAUAUAUAUAUAUAUAUAUAUAUAUAUAUAUAUAUAUAUA